CCGGCACGGGUGAGUAACACGUAUCCAACCUGCCGUCUACUCUUGGCCAGCCUUCUGAAAGGAAGAUUAAUCCAGGAUGGCAUCAUGAGUUCACAUGUCCGCAUGAUUAAAGGUAUUUUCCGGUAGACGAUGGGGAUGCGUUCCAUUAGAUAGUAGGGGGGGUAACGGCCCACCUAGUCAACGAUGGAUAGGGGUUCUGAGAGGAAGGUCCCCCACAUUGGAACUGAGACACGGUCCAA
rnacentral:rRNA from 1 species